rnacentral:lncRNA from 1 species
UUGACACCAUGGAAAUUAGCAACUGCUACAAGUCAGAACGCUGGGUGUGUUAAAUACUGACCAGUCCAGCACUGACUGACAAGUGUGUGCAUCUACGUGAGAUUGAGUGUGUGUCUUUGUAUGUGUGUGUCUGGGUCUGUCCAUCUGUGCGGUGCCUUUAUCUCCUGCUUUGCUCAUCUGUCUAUCCCUAUCUGAAUCUGUGUGCACGCCUCUGUGUGUCUGAAUGUGUCUGUGUGUGUCUGUGGCUGAGUGUGCUUCAGUGUGUGUGUGUCUUGCAUGCAUGUGUAUGUCUGUGUGUGUCUAUGUGUGUGUCCAAGCACAUAUGCAUUUCUGUGUGUGACAGUGUUUUGGGGGUGUUUGUGUGUGUGUGUGUGUCACUGUGUCUGUGUGUGUUCAUGUGACUGUGUGGCCUCUCAAGCUGAAGAUGAUGGUUUCAACUGAAAUUGAGGCUGACGCUCUCCACUACAAAGCUCAAUUUGCUUGCAAAUGUCCUUCAAGAGGCAGAGGAGACAGGAGCAGAGGGGGCGGGAGGCAGGAGCCAGACAGACGCAGCGACCGGCAGCAGAAAUGACAUCACCCGGCAGAUUCCAAGAGCGCCCCAAGACCAGUGGGGUGUCACCCACCUGGAGGCACUGUGGAUCCUAGAGGAGACUCUGGCAGGCCCCAAACACAGCCCUUGAGGAAGUAGUCAUUUGGGAGGAUUCGGAGUGAUAAAAAUAUAGUUUGUUGCUUGCGAAAAUCACUUGUGACUUAAAAGCGUCUCCCGUUGUCAUGGAAUUGACAAUACCAUUG